rnacentral:rRNA from 1 species
GAUGAACGCUGGCGGCAGGCUUAAUACAUGCAAGUCGAACGGUAACAGUACUAGCAAUAGUAGCUGACGAGUGGCGCACGGGUGCGUAACGCGUAUGCAACCUACCCAUAAUUGGAACAUAACGUUGAGAAAUUAACGCUAAUAUUUCAUGUGAAUAUGAAGAGGCAUCUUUUUAUAUUUAAAGAUUCAUUGAUUAUGGAUGGGCAUGCGUAUCAUUAGCUAGUUGGUGAGGUAACGGCUCACCAAGGCAACGAUGAUUAGGGGUUCUGAGAGGAUAUCCCCCCACACUGGAACUGAGACACGGUCCAGACUCCUACGGGAGGCAGCAGUAGGGAAUAUUGGGCAAUGGAAGCAAUUCUGACCCAGCCAUGCCGCGUGAAGGAAUACAGCCCUAUGGGUUUUAAACUUCUUUUAUUAUAGAUUAACCGGAGGUACGUGUACCUCCCUGCAAGUAUAUGAUGAAUAAGGAUCGGCUAACUCCGUG